GGCGAGUGAAGAGGGAAGAGCCCAAGAUUGAAAGCUGGCGUCUUUGGCGUCCGCAUUGUAAUCUCAAGAAGUGUUUUCCGCUUCGGACCAUGCCUAAGUCCCUUGGAAAAGGGCAUCAUAGAGGGUGAUAAUCCCGUACAUGGCAUGGAGCGCCCGAAGCUUUGUGAUACACUUUCUAAGAGUCGAGUUGUUUGGGAAUGCAGCUCAAAAUGGGUGGUAAAUGCCAUCUAAGGCUAAAUAUUGGGGAGAGACCGAUAGCGAACAAGUACAGUGAUGGAAAGAUGAAAAGAACUUUGAAAAGAGAGUUAAACAGUACGUGAAAUUGCCAAAAGGGAAGGGUAGGAGGUCAGAGAUGCGGUCUGGGAUUCAGCCUUGCUUUUGCUGGGUGUUUUUCUCAGAUUGCAGGCCAACGUCGGUUUUGGGCGCUGGAGAAGGGUGGAAGGAAUGUGGCACCUCUCGGGGUGUGUUAUAGCCUUCUACUGG
rnacentral:rRNA from 1 species